UCAACCGGUUUGGGCUUCGAGCCCAAACAUCUGGAACCUCAAGAUACACACGCGAGGAAGCAUACAGGUUGAAGUCCACGAAGCAUUCACCAAACGCGCUUUUCGUAAAAGCUACACGGGCAAAUGAAGCGCUUGCAGUUGAAAAAGUGCUUAAAAAAAGCUCAACACAAACAUCACGUUCGUCAUCACCAUCACAUUCACCAACCAACGUCGCCGUUCGCGGACGCUUCACCAUCUCGGAUCAUUCAACAGUCCAACGCAAUUCACGUCCAUCCAUCACCACCAAUUAACGACUCAACCUCACAAAAUAAACAACAUCAUCUAUCCUAAUCUACGGAGCCGAAUCGCAACGGCAUCACCGAAUUGCUUGAGCAUGACGAAGAAGGAAAAAUAACAUCUUACCAGCAAUGACAACGGGGUGGAGGAUUGGAUUCACCUGUUCUGUUCUCCUUGUAUCUCACUUCCAUUGCGGAUUGAGGUAGUGGUGACGCGGUGGUUCGAAGGAUUGAAGUCGAGGAUGGACGAAGGCGGAGAUAACGUUCGAGGCACGGUGGUGAUUACGACAGAGAGAGUUGGUUAUGGUUGUUAUAAAAUUAAAGUAUGUGGAAGAUUAGAGAGGAAUAAGAAUCAAAGUUCUUGAGAAGAAAAAUGGAAAAGAAGAGAGCAAAAAAAAAGGUUGCGGCGUGUUGCUUUGGUUUAGUUUGGAACUGGCUUACGCAUCUUUAGCUUUGUGUUUUCACGUUGCAGCUUUUGUGGUAGCUGGAAGUAAUUUGGCUCUUGGUUCCAGGAAGUGUUUGGAAGUGCUAGCUUGGCGCUUGUGGCUUUGGAAGGUGCUAGCUUCGCCAUUUCCAUGUUUCCGUUGCGUUUUGAAUUUGUCAUUUGUGAGCUUGUAGCUUUUGACUUUUGUUUAACCUGCGUUUUGAUUGCCGGCUGUAGCAGCUUGGCUUAGCAUGGCAUUUGGAUUGCGACGUUAGCAGGUUGCGAAUUGGCGUUGGAUGUAGCGUCUUGCUGCAUGUACAUUUGGCCUUGACGUUACUUUUCAAUCCCCAUUGUUUUCUUUAUUUUGUCUUAUUAUUGAUGUACACUAUUAAUUGAAUAAAUGCCUGUACUGUAAAUGAAUUACCAUUGGAUUUUGGUUUGUGGUUAAUGAAUGGAUAUUAACAUUUGGUUAUCA